AUGUAAUUAUAUUUAAUUACAAGUGUGCUCCUGGUGGUCUUUAACUGAAGGGCACUGACUGGGUCACUGGUGAAGUUCCCCGCAGGAACUGAGUCAGACCCCAUCUCAGGGCCCCGCACAAGAUAGGUGCCUGCACUAAGGCGUGGACCCUCGCGACAGCCCUGGCCCGUCUUGACGGGCGAGGGUUACUGUACUUGUCCCAACCGUACAGAUGAGAAAGCUGAGACUCAGGGCGAGCAACCCGGGUCCCAGCGGAGCGCCGGGCACGCGCCGACACUUCCGCACCAGUCGCGGUGGCCACCACUGUGCGCGGAGAUGGCUGCGACGCGUGCGCAGAUCUCGAUCCCAAACUCCCUCCUGCCAGAAUCUGGACCCGAAUCCACCCAUUGCCCAGUUUCCGCUGCCGCUGGAGAGAAUCUCUGAGGUCCCCAGGACAGCCUGCCUGCACGGAAGAGAUGCCUCCUCAGUAUGGCCGCCCCCGGAGAGGAGCGAUUAAGUGCAGACCUCCAUGUUGCUCUUGAGCCUGAGCGGCUUCAGGGAGCCAUGUUUGUUACUGGCGGGCGCCGGCCUCACUGAGCAUGUGCAGCCCUGGCCGGGCGGCCUCAAAGUUCUGACAUCACAGGGCGGUUCCUGAAGUGGACGUAGUUGUAAGAGCUAGUUAUUUUAGACAAUGCCUCUGGGAUCAGGGACUCUAAUCUGGAAAUAGGUAGUAGGAGAGGUCGGUGAUGCAGUCUCUGGGUCAGAGACCUGAGCUAUACGGGGUUAGAGAGGGGCCCUGGGCAGGCGAGUCUCUGGGGAGUGUGGUGAGAAUCCUUGUGUAAGAUGCUGGGAGGAGGUGGGGUCAGGGCUGGGGUCCGUGGGCCGACGGGUUGGGGGAUGGCCAGCGUCAGGGAUCAGUAGUAGAGAUUCUAUGUGCCCUGAUCGCCAGUAGAGGUUUUAAAUACAGAGUAUUCAUGAGUUUAGCAAUGUUAUUCGCCUCUCAUAAUUUAAAUAAUUUGAAGUUUUCCCCAAUAACUAGUGUCUUAGAAGUCAUGAAAAUUUCAGAAAAUGACAGGUCUUCUGAGUUCGUGAUGGGAGUUGGGCAGCAGUCGCAUACGAGCACCUGGAGAGUCCUUGCCAGUUCUUUGGGGAUGGGGAGCUCUUAAGACUGCCCUGAGACCGCCCUUUGACCUCAUUGUGGUCCUUUCUAGAUUAAAUGCUGUUUUCCAUGACCGUCUCUGUUCUUCCCAUACGCGAAUGGCAGGCAUCCAGAUCUCCAAGAAUAGAGGAUUAGGAGAGACUCCACCACCUAUGUCCUCACAGUUAAUUAUCGAUUUGUGUCACUUGCCCAUUUUCUCACUUCCUGUUUGUGUGUCAAGGAGUAUUAAUAAAUCUUUGCCUAUUUAAAGAUAUUAGCCUUGGAUUUUCAAAUAUUGCAUAUUUUGACAUGUAAAAAUUUGUUAGUUUUAUUUUUUCAACCGAUCUGACCUGUAUAGUUGGGCUUGAGGAAGCUUCCUCAUUGUACAUGUUACUAUGGAUUUUCUAAUAUUAACACAGGGUUGUAUUUUUUCCAUAUAACUUUCUAUUGAAUUUCUUUUUCCAUAUGAUAGGUGGUGAAGGUUUAGCCCAGUAAAGCAGAGAGGUUAAGAGGUUAGAUUGGGGGCUCUGGAGCCAGACCUAUGUAGAUCCGAGUCCUGGCUCUGGCACUUGAAAGCCGUGUGACCUUGGUUAAGAUACUUAGCCCCUCUCUGCCAAAUGGAGAAAUAAGGGCACCUACCCCGUAGGGUAGUUGUGUGAUUACACAAGUUAAUACACUUCAAUCACUAGCAAGAAAGUGAAUGUCAAGCUGUAUUUGUUCAGGCAGCCAUAUGGUAGCCCCACCUCCUUAGUAAACUGAGGUAUUGAAGUAUCUUCUUUUUCUUUCAGAAAAUAUUUGUCAAGCACCUUCUGUGUUCUAAGAACUGUUCUAGAGCUUUGCAUGCUAUGGAGGUCUAGAAAUUCACAUUAUGGUGGCAGGUGACAGACAAUACAAAGAGAUAAAGCAAUUUCAUAUAGUGAUAACCUAGGGAGGAGUGCUAAAAGGAGCCAAGGUGUAGUGGUGACUGGAAGGUGACCAGGGAAACCACUGUAGGGUUUCUAGUGAUGAGACCUGUGACAAAUCCCUGUGGUCAGCAGCAGGCAUUGGAUAUGUAACUUUAUUCUGUCCCAUUGAUCUUGUAGUCAACCCUGGUCUGUUCUGUAUUGUUUUAAUUACAUAAUCUUUGUAAUAAUCUUU
rnacentral:lncRNA from 1 species